GAUGAACGCUGGCGGCGUGCCUAAUACAUGCAAGUCGAGCGAACAGACGAGGAGCUUGCUCCUCUGAUGUUAGCGGCGGACGGGUGAGUAACACGUGGAUAACCUACCUAUAAGACUGGGAUAACUUCGGGAAACCGGAGCUAAUACCGGAUAAUAUAUUGAACCGCAUGGUUCAAUAGUGAAAGACGGUUUUGCUGUCACUUAUAGAUGGAUCCGCGCCGCAUUAGCUAGUUGGUAAGGUAACGGCUUACCAAGGCGACGAUGCGUAGCCGACCUGAGAGGGUGAUCGGCCACACUGGAACUGAGACACGGUCCAGACUCCUACGGGAGGCAGUAGUAGGGAAUCUUCCGCAAUGGGCGAAAGCCUGACGGAGCAACGCCGCGUGAGUGAUGAAGGUCUUCGGAUCGUAAAACUCUGUUAUUAGGGAAGAACAAAUGUGUAAGUAACUAUGCACGUCUUGACGGUACCUAAUCAGAAAGCCACGGCUAACUACGUG
rnacentral:rRNA from 1 species